CCUACGGGAGGCAGCAGUGGGGAAUUUUGGACAAUGGGCGCAAGCCUGAUCCAGCAAUGCCGCGUGAGUGAAGAAGGCCUUCGGGUUGUAAAGCUCUUUUGUCAGGGAAGAAACGGUUCGGGUUAAUACCUUGGGCUAAUGACGGUACCUGAAGAAUAAGCACCGGCUAACUACGUGCCAGCAGCCGCGGUAAUACGUAGGGUGCAAGCGUUAAUCGGAAUUACUGGGCGUAAAGCGUGCGCAGGCGGUUGUGCAAGACAGAUGUGAAAUCCCCGGGCUCAACCUGGGAAUUGCAUUUGUGACUGUACGGCUAGAGUGUGUCAGAGGGGGGUAGAAUUCCACGUGUAGCAGUGAAAUGCGUAGAGAUGUGGAGGAAUACCGAUGGCGAAGGCAGCCCCCUGGGAUAACACUGACGCUCAUGCACGAAAGCGUGGGGAGCAAACAGGAUUAGAUACCCUGGUAGUCCACGCCCUAAACGAUGUCUACUAGUUGUCGGGUCUUUAUUGACUUGGUAACGCAGCUAACGCGUGAAGUAGACCGCCUGGGGGAGGUACGGUCGGUCGAGAAGUUAAAACGUUAAAAGGUUAAAGUUAGUACGGCGUUGAGACGUUGCCGACGGACGACGACGAGGGAGGAGG
rnacentral:rRNA from 1 species